GAAACAGGACAAUGGGCUGGCUAGACAGGUGCAGGCUAUGGCCAGGAAACCCCCCAAAUACAACGGAAUUGAAAGACACCUGUUGGAAUGCUGGCCCCCGCAGGAACCACCAUGAUCCCGAUUCAUCCAGGAGGGCCACCCUCCCGUCCAGCCCCCCAAGAGCAGCAGGGCUCCCUCUUGCCCUUGAACCUCCUCUGCCCUGACAGGCGGCGUCACCCAGGGCUCAGGAUCCUGGCUUCCAGCAUUCCAGAGGUGACUCACCAACCAAAGUGUCACUCACCAACCGAAGGACCUUGCACAAAUGCGCCAGCCUCCCCAUGCCUCAGUCUCCCCAUCUGUAAAUGAGUGUUAUGACGGUACUGUCAUAACCUCCCUGGAGGAUCCAGGUGGUCACAUUACUGUUGGUGACAUUGUCCCUCUGUUGGCUGCAGACGCAUCUUCUCUCCAGACUGCCGAUCCCAGAAAGCCAGGUGAUCACCAUUAACCCCGAGCUGCCUGUGGAGGAGGCGGCUGAGGACUACGCCAAGAAGCUGAGACAGGCAUUCCAAGGGGACUCCAUCCCAGUUUUCGACCUGCUGAUCCUGGGGGUGGGCCCCGAUGGUCACACCUGCUCACUCUUCCCAGACCACCCCCUCCUACAGGAGCGGGAGAAGAUUGUGGCUCCCAUCAGUGACUCCCCGAAGCCACCACCACAGCGUGUGACCCUCACACUACCUGUCCUGAAUGCAGCACGAACUGUCAUCUUUGUGGCAACUGGAGAAGGCAAGGCAGCUGUUCUGAAGCGCAUUUUGGAGGACCAGGAGGAAAACCCUCUGCCCGCCGCCCUGGUCCAGCCCCACACCGGGAAACUGUGCUGGUUCUUGGACGAG
rnacentral:sRNA from 1 species